UGCGUAGGCGGGCUAAUAAGUCAGUGGUGAAAUCUUCCGGCUCAACCGGGAAACUGCCAUUGAUACUGUUAGCCUUGAGUUAGGUUGAGGUAGGCGGAAUGUGUAAUGUAGCGGUGAAAUGUUUAGAUAUUACACAGAACACCAAUUGCGUAGGCAGCUUACUGGACCUACACUGACGCUGAGGCACGAAAGCGUGGGGAGCGAACAGGAUUAGAUACCCUGGUAGUCC
rnacentral:rRNA from 1 species